rnacentral:rRNA from 1 species
UGACCUCAAAUCAGGUAGGAAU